rnacentral:rRNA from 1 species
GAUGAACGCUGGCGGCGUGCCUAAUACAUGCAAGUCGAGCGAACAGAUGAGGAGCUUGCUCCUCUGACGUUAGCGGCGGACGGGUGAGUAACACGUGGAUAACCUACCUAUAAGACUGGGAUCACUUCGGGAAACCGGAGCUAAUACCGGAUAAUAUAUUGAACCGCAUGGUUCAAUAGUGAAAGACGGUUUUGCUGUCACUUAUAGAUGGAUCCUCGCCGCAUUAGCUAGUUGGUAAGGUAACGGCUUACCAAGGCAACGAUGCGUAGCCGACCUGAGAGGGUGAUCGGCCACACUGGAACUGAGACACGGUCCAGACUCCUACGGGAGGCAGCAGUAGGGAAUCUUCCGCAAUGGGCGAAAGCCUGACGGAGCAACGCCGCGUGAGUGAUGAAGGUCUUCGGAUCGUAAAACUCUGUUAUUAGGGAAGAACAAAAGUGUAAGUAACUAUGCACGUCUUGACGGUACCUAAUCAGAAAGCCACGGCUAACUACGUG